GACGAACGCUGGCGGCGUGCUUAACACAUGCAAGCCGAACGGAAAGGCCCUGCUUUUGUGGGGUGCUCGAGUGGCGAACGGGUGAGUAACACGUGAGUAACCUGCCCUUGACUUUGGGAUAACUUCAGGAAACUGGGGCUAAUACCGGAUAGGAGCUCCUGCUGCAUGGUGGGGGUUGGAAAGUUUCGGCGGUUGGGGAUGGACUCGCGGCUUAUCAGCUUGUUGGUGGGGUAGUGGCUUACCAAGGCUUUGACGGGUAGCCGGCCUGAGAGGGUGACCGGCCACAUUGGGACUGAGAUACGGCCCAGACUCCUACGGGAGGCAGCAGUGGGGAAUAUUGCACAAUGGGCGGAAGCCUGAUGCAGCAACGCCGCGUGCGGGAUGACGGCCUUCGGGUUGUAAACCGCUUUCGCCUAUGACGAAGCGUGAGUGACGGUAAUGGGUAAAGAAGCACCGGCUAACUACGUG
rnacentral:rRNA from 1 species